rnacentral:rRNA from 1 species
UACGUAGGGGGCAAGCGUUGUCCGGAUUUAUUGGGCGUAAAGAGCAGUGUAGGCGGUCAGGUAGGUCCGUUGUGAAAACUCGAGGCUCAACCUCGAGACGCCGAUGGAAACCAUCUGACUAGAGUCCGGAAGAGGAGAGUGGAAUCCUGGUGUAGCGGUGAAAUGCGCAGAUAUCAGGAAGAACACCCGUGGCUAAGGCGGCUCUCUAGUACGGUACUGACGCUGAGACGCGAAAGCGUGGGGAGCGAACAGG